UAGGGAAUCUUCGGCAAUGGACGAAAGUCUGACCGAGCAACGCCGCGUGAGUGAAGAAGGUUUUCGGAUCGUAAAACUCUGUUGUUAGAGAAGAACAAGGACGUUAGUAACUGAACGUCCCCUGACGGUAUCUAACCAGAAAGCCACGGCUAACUACGUGCCAGCAGCCGCGGUAAUACGUAGGUGGCAAGCGUUGUCCGGAUUUAUUGGGCGUAAAGCGAGCGCAGGCGGAUUCUUAAGUCUGAUGUGAAAGCCCCCGGCUCAACCGGGGAGGGUCAUUGGAAACUGGGAGACUUGGGUGCAGAAGAGGAGAGUGGAAUUCCAUGUGUAGCGGUGAAAUGCGUAGAUAUAUGGAGGAAAACCGGUGGCGAAGGCGGCUCUCUGGUCUGUAACUGACGCUGAGGCUCGAAAGCGUGGGGAGCAAACAGG
rnacentral:rRNA from 1 species